UACAAGCAGCCAAACAAGUGUGCUUACAUUGUUGGUUGCUAAUUGUAUUUGCCUCUAAAACAUGGAAUUUGUUUUGGUCAGACACCUCCAAUGUAAUGCAUGCACAUAAUGUACUACUACUGAGCUCUGUUUACUGUUCAUGACCGCCCCCCACACACACACACAAGUAUAUUGAAGUACAUUUAUACAACCUAUAGCCAGCUGUUUAUAUUAGCCUGUAUAGCUUGCUGCUAACAGGGACUUUGAUCAGUGAACAUACAAUUCAAAUGCAUUUAGUGCUUAGGGUUGUACCACAGCUCUGAAAAAUUGCUACAUAAAAAUAUAGUCCAGAUGUAACUUCCCGCAAGGCUGUACUAGACCCCUUAAGUACUGUUCACGAGUGAACACACUGUGCAUCGCUAAGAAUAAUAAUAAUAAUAAUAAUAAUAAUAAUAAUAAUAAUAAUCCUACAUUAAAGCACUGUCCUAUACGAAUAUUUAGGCCUUGUCUUAAAUGUUGGUUUCUUACUUUGUUGUACUAGGACUCAGACAGAUGAAGGUGAGUUCUAUUAACUAUAAUAGAAGUUUAUGAUGCCAGAAUAUCCUUUUUUUAAGAUCUUGAAGAAGCUGUGCUUUUACAGGGUAACAUGCAGUAUUAGUAAUGUACAGUACAUUGGAAGAAGGGCAAGUAGAUAUAAACGUGUGUACAUAUAAAACUGUAUGGACAUUGUUCCUAGUUAAGAGACAGGACUUGCUUUCGUUUGUCUUGGUGCUUCUUUAACUAGAUCACAUUCCGUUCUCUGGCCGUAAUCCUGUCUUUCAGGAAAGUUUAGAUUUUAAGCCACAUUUACUAGUGCUGAACAAAAUAGAUUUAGCAGAUUUGUCAGAGAAGCAAGUAAGUGGUUUUAUUUUUUUAAUAGUAUUUAAACAAGCAGCGCAUAAUUUAAGUCAUGAUAAAACGCUAAUUACUGUAUCUCAGUUCAACAAAGAAAACAUGGGGGACACUAUAUGUGCUGACCAGUGUUGUAUAUUAUCACACAUCAUUUCUGCAGUUUUUGUACAGUUAUACUUUAAAUAUUUAUGUUAAUGUUCUAGAGAAUUCUCAAAUAACUGAAAAGGGAAGGCGUGGGCAAUGUUCUAUUUGCUGACUGCCUAACACAGAGAGAUGAGUGUGAAGGUGAGAAUAUUGAAGUUCCAUGCUGAUUAACAAUGCUUUAACUGAGAGUUAUUUCAUUUUGAAUAGGAACACUAAAAGAAAGGUCCAUUGAGAGACUUCUAGUCAAAACCUUUGUCAAAGAAUUGUUUCUUAUAGUGUGUUAUAGUGUAUAUAGUUUAUAGCUAUAUAAUUUAAAACAUAAUUUGAUAAAAUAAAAUAAAUUGUGAUAUUAUAAUGUCUAGAUGAUCAUAAACACACAAUUAUUUUAUCAAUUAUAAAGAGUCUAAAUGUGCUUUAAACAGACCUAGCUCAUGCAAUACACUUUUUUUCUUCUUUCUUUGAGGUGGUUCCAGUGGUUAGAGAGUUAAUUGAAAGCAGCCCCCAAUUUCACAGGACAGAGGUGGAUUUGGAUUUGUGAUAUUGGUAAUAGGCAUACCAAAUGUUGGGAAAUAUUCUUUUGUUAAUGCCUUACGAAGAACGCAUAUAAAAAGGAAAGGCUUCCAAAGUUGGAGGGGACCCUGGUAUAACUAAAGCUAGCGUGUCUAAAAUUCAGUUAUGUGAUAAGUAUGAGUUGGGGAGCCUUGUGAUGACAUUCAGCAUGUUUUGAAAAAGAGUACAGUUAAACUUGGAGAGAGUUAAAGCCAUCACUGGAGUAGGGGAUAUCACUGUCACAGUGCCAAACUAGUGCUGCAGCCUAUGAUUCUGUCCGAGUUUUCAGGAAAGGAGAACUAGGUAGGGUGAUGAUGGACUGAUUGACCAAACUCUGGACCAAGAUAAGCUGUUGUGUCUACAUCGUGAAACAAACUGGAGAACCAACUAUAUACAAGUCAUUGUAUAUAACAGAGUUCUUGCAAAUAGAAUUAUUUUUAUGUAAAAGCAUAAAGUAAACAAUAAUUAUUUAAAUGUCA